UGAGUAACCUGCCCCAGACUCUGGAAUAACCCCGGGAAACCGGAGCUAAUACCGGAUACGAGACGAAGCUGCAUGGCUAUCGUCUGGAAAGUUUUUCGGUCUGGGAUGGACUCGCGGCCUAUCAGCUUGUUGGUGAGGUAAUGGCUCACCCAGGCGACGACGGGUAGCCGGCCUGAGAGGGUGACCGGCCACACUGGGACUGAGACACGGCCCAGACUCCUGCGGGAGCAG
rnacentral:rRNA from 1 species